GAGUUUGAUUAUGGCUCAGGACAAACGCUGGCGGCGUGCAUAACACAUGCAAGUCGAACGAAAUCUACAUGAUUUAGUGGCGAACGGGUGAGUAACACGUGAGAAACCUGCCUUACACAGAGGGAUAGCCGUUGGAAACGACGAUUAAUACCUCAUGACACCGUGACAUCGCAUGAUGAUGCGGUCAAAGAUUAAUCGGUGUAAGAUGGUCUCGCGCCUGAUUAGCUGGUUGGUGGGGUAACGGCCUACCAAGGCGACGAUCAGUAGCCGAUCUGAGAGGGUGGACGGCCACAUUGGGACUGAGACACGGCCCAAACUCCUACGGGAGGCAGCAGUGGGGAAUUUUGCACAAUGGGGGAAACCCUGAUGCAGCGACGCCGCGUGAACGAAGAAGGCCUUUCGGGUUGUAAAGUUCUGUCCUUGGUGAAGAUAAUGACCGUACCAGAG
rnacentral:rRNA from 1 species